rnacentral:tRNA from 1 species
GUAGAUAUAGUUUAGCCAAAACGCCAGAUUGUGAUUCCGGAAACAGAGGUUAAGUCCCUCUUAUCCACC